GAUGAACGCUAGCGACAGGCCUAACACAUGCAAGUCGAGGGGCAGCAUAAAGGUAGCAAUACUUUGGUGGCGACCGGCGCACGGGUGAGUAACACGUAUGCAACCUGCCUGUAAGAGGGGAAUAACCCGGAGAAAUCCGGACUAAUACCGCAUAAUACUGUGAAACUGCAUGGUUUUACAGUUAAACAUUUAUGGCUUACAGAUGGGCAUGCGUAUGAUUAGCUAGUUGGUGAGGUAACGGCUCACCAAGGCAACGAUCAUUAGGGGUUCUGAGAGGAAGGUCCCCCACACUGGUACUGAGACACGGACCAGACUCCUACGGGAGGCAGCAGUGAGGAAUAUUGGUCAAUGGGCGAGAGCCUGAACCAGCCAAGUCGCGUGAAGGAAGAAGGUUCUAUGGAUUGUAAACUUCUUUUGUAAGGGAAAUAAAAAGUAGUACGUGUACUAUAUUGUAUGUACUUUACGAAUAAGGAUCGGCUAACUCCGUG
rnacentral:rRNA from 1 species